GGUAUGUACCGAAUUCGAGUGCCUUUUCCAUUCGUGUUCAACUUUCUCUGUUUGGAUUAUAGGAAAACUAAAGAAAAUUAAAAACCGUAUGAAUCUUCACGGAUCCGUCAUCCACGAGUUCAAUCGUAUUCUUAUUUUCCCAUCUGGGUCUUUAUCAAACAAAACAAAAAGAAAAAAAACCCAGGUCUUAUUGAACCAACUCUGAUCCCUUAAAGUGUGUUGACAGGUGUGGAAUCCAUUUCCAUUGACAUGAAAGAUCAGAAACUGACGGUGAUCGGAGACGUUGAUCCCGUGGACAUCGUGAACAAACUGAAGAAGUUAUGCUAUCCAGAAAUCGUCUCUGUUGGUCCUGCAAAAGAGCCUGAGAAGAAGAAAGAAGAACCCAAAAAACCAGAACCAAAAAAAGAAGAUCCCAAGAAAGAUGAAUUAGCCGUUCACCUUGCAAAUCUCCACAGAGCUUGGAAUCCUCAUAUGACUCAGCACUAUUUUGUCAGAAGCGUAGAAGAAGAUCCCAAUGCCUGUGUUAUUUGCUGAAUCUUCUUAAUGGAAAAUUUUAGCUCAGGCGGAAAAGAAAAUUUAUAAAGGAA
rnacentral:lncRNA from 1 species